GCCGGGCGUUGUAGCUGGCACCUGUGGUCCCAGCUACUUGGGAGGCAGAGGCAGGAGACUCACUUGAGCCCAGGAGUUGGAGGUUGCUAUGAGCUUUGAUGCUACAGCAUUCUACCCAGGGAGACAGCUUGAGGCUCUGUCUCAAAAAAAAAAAAAAAGUAGAUACAGAGCCUCACUUUAUUGCCCUCGGUAGAGUGCCAUGGCAUCACACAGUUCACAGCAACCUCCAACUCUUGGGCUUAAGUGAUUCUCUUGCCU
rnacentral:sRNA from 1 species